ensembl:lncRNA
AAGACACUAGCUCCAGCUUGCUCUCUCUGGGACACUUUGUAGGACACUCUGUGGCAAGACCGAUGAUAGGGACUUGAGGGCCCCUGCUGUUGACCAGGGUUAAUACACCAGUCACACUUGCCAACUUGGAAGCAGAGCCUCCAGCCCUCUUCAAGCCUUCUAUGACAUCCUGACUGCAGUCUCAUGGGAGACCCCCAAACCAGAACCACCUAUCCAGCUGCCGCUGAACUCCUGACCCACGGAAACUGGCUCUGGGAUGGCAGCUCCCUCAGCACCUAGAUCUGUGCCUACUUGGCCCUCCGCAGGGACUCAGGAACCUGAGGGUGAGCUUUGCUGGUCUCGGAAAAUGACUCCAAAUGUGCAAUUUGUUCCCAGGAACGGGGGUGUGUGAGUGAAAUGGCUCCUGGUAUGGCAGUGCCCUCGUCUCCUCCUGCGGUCUCCUCUUCCUUUACAUUCCUACUGACCCUUCUCCUCUUUCCCUCCCCUCCACACUCAAAGGGAAGAGAGUGGGUGUGUGCUCCCCUCGCCCCAACAGCCACUUCUGAGCCCUGUGACCCUGGACUGGCUAGAAGGGGUCACCAUGGGUAGAGUCUUGGACAUGAAUGAGGUCUUUGUUGUGGGGUUGGUCCUACCUCGAGUUUCUGCAAGCCACAGAGCAAUCGGUCUAGAAGAGGGGGGUGGGUAAAGCAAAGCCCAGGGCUAGUGAUGAAGCCACCUGGGUCUGGCCACAAGGUCACAGCGAGCAAACUCCAGAAUCUUCUUGGCCUCAUCCACACAUAUGACAUUGGAAGCCUUUAGGAGCUCAAGACUUUAGGAGCCUUCCUCUCAGGGGGUGCGGAGCCUCAAGUGCGACCACUUCAGAGCACCCACUCUUGGAGGUGGGCCCACCGUGGUUCAGUGGAGGUGCCACCACCACCAUGAAGCCUUCCUAUAUUCCCCCCAGGAUACCGAGCCCUCAGCAGGGUUAACCCCUCCCUGCCCAGGCUCCUCUGCUGACUGCUGGACUCAGUCGAUGGUACCUGGUUGGGCUGGGCUUCUGUUCAGAUGAAUGUAAAGCAAGUGAAGCUGAAGCUUUGGGGACCCUCACUGGCACGACCCCCUUCCAAAGCCAGUCCCUAAUUUUGUAUUCAUGAUCCCCUCAAAUUGUAUACACUUGGGUCCCACAGAGUUGGGUCCACUCCCGUUUUCAUCCCCACCCAGCUUGAGGUCAGAGCCUCUCUCCUGAACAGUUAUGGCAGGCAAUUUCUCCUCCCCUUCCACCUCCCCUAGGCCCCGGUUGGUCUGGCACCUGGGCCAGAUGGACCCAGAGACAAGGUUUCUGCAUCCACCUGCCCCACUUGGGGUCUCUGUGACCUCUGCUGUCCCCUCUUGGGUGACCAGCCCAGGCCUGCUCUCUGGCUCCCAGGUCACUCAUCUGAAACAAAAUUGGACUUCCUCUCUCCCUCUCUUCCCUCCCCAUCCUCCAUACCUGCCCUAGGGGCCUCCCAGGAACGUUGUGGGUCCUUAGUUUGCAAACCCCCAGCUCACAGACCUAGGAGAGGCCUGGGUUCGAAUCCUAGCCCCAUGCCUGGCAGCUGUGUGCCCAGGGGCAUCACCCACUCUUCAUCCUGAGGAGAAGUGCCUUCAAGUCCCUGGCACACAGGGGACUCAGGAAAGGCCCGAGGAUGGCCUUCUGAGACCCUCACACAGGCAGGCCCCUUGGCGGGCAGGGGGCUUCCCCCAGAUG